GUUUGGAGGUGUUGGUGUUGCUGCUGAUGAGCCAUUCAUGAACAAAGUUAAGACACACACUGCAAUCCAUAAAAAACGGGGUACACAUGCAUUGUUAUUAGUUGACCAUCACCACGUACGUGGAGGAACCAGAGGCUCAACAUCAGAUGUGGAGGAUCCAUUAUUAAACAUAGAGGCUG